AAAAAAAAAAAAAAAAAAAAGGCCAAGCUUAAUCGUCAGUUGCUUCUUAAUAUCUCAAGAUUUUCCACUACUUUCUUCAUUUUGGGCUUUGUUUGUAGUUGAAGAUGCAGAUUUGCCAUGAAACACGCCAUUGAAGCUGGGUUCUUGUUUGCAUGCUGUAUAUGUAGCUUUAUAGUUGUAUAUACAGAUUUGUAUGUUGUAAGCUAGGUUGCAUGCAAAAGAGAGAGAUUGGCAUUGAGAGGAAGAGAAGAAUAAGAAAAGAAUUGGUAGAGGCAGAGGAGUGAAAAUGGCAUUAAAGCAUUGUGGAGGCUAAGAAUGAAGGCUAGGGUAUGAAAAGUAUAAGAUGAAUUUAUAUCAUAAGUUCAAUGGUUGAGAUAAUGCGAAAAUGGAAUUCUGAGAUUUAAUGAAGAGUGAAGGUUAUAACAAGAAAAAUAAAAAUGAUGACACUAGGGAUUGAAAAUGUGACCUGUGGCUAUGAAGAGAGCCUCUUUCCCAUUAAGCUACAGCCUACGACAAUAUUGUAGUAGCCUUUUUUUUUACCCUUUUUUUUUCUUCAAAAACCGAAUUGAACUGAUUAAACCAAGUUUUCAAAAAAUUAAAAUCAUGCCAAAUUACUUAAUAAAUCGAACCAGAUUUCUAAUUUGGUUUGGUUUUUCGAUUUUUUCAGUUUAAGCUGAAUUAUGCUCACCCUUAGUGGCAUCGUGUUUUGGUGAAGAGAUGAUGGAGAGUGAAAAGGGAAAAUGAGGCAACAACAAUGAGGAACUUUUUUGGGAGAACUAAAUCAUCAUCUAAUUCUAGGGAUAACACUAAAGUAAAACCAAAUUCUUCACUAGCACAUCUUUCUCUUUUAGUUCUCUUUUUCGGUGCAUCUAGUGGAUCUCGUACUAAUAACUCUUCCAUAUAGUGUUUUCUUAUUAUUGUUAAGUUUCUUGAAAGAGAAUGAGGAGGAAAGGAAGGAGAAGGGAAGAACCAUAAAGACUACAUUUUCAUUCUCUUCGCAUUCUAAUUACACAAUACAUGAGUCCAUGUUUAUAGUAGAGGAUACAAUAUAUAUACCAUAAAUUAUUCCUAGACUAUUGACUUUUGGUUAUACCAUAAAUUAAGGAUCUAUAAAUUAAGGACCCAUAAAUUAAGGUAGAAUUUCAACUCUCCAAUCAUGGGAUUUUCCAAUAUGAGACUAAUCUCAUAAAUUAAGUAAAAUCUCAUCGAUUCAAACACUCUCCUUGAGAUUUUUGCUGAAGUUAUGGAUCUAUCAUCAAGAAUGAGAAUUUGGG
rnacentral:misc_RNA from 1 species